rnacentral:lncRNA from 1 species
GGGGGAAUUUCCCCCUUUGCAUAAUUCAGAACAAACCGUGACGGGAAAAACAGGAACGGAGCGCGAUGGGGCGCGGCGGCAGCUCCGCUCCGGGACACGGCUGGCACCGGUCCGUUCCUCCCCACGGCUGGAGGGCACGGCCCGGUGCGGGACGGUACGAUCCGGUCCGGCCCGGUACCGCACGGAGCGGCCGGGGCUGCGCUGGGUGUAACACGGCACGGAACGGAACAGCUCCGAUCUGCCCGGACCGGCACAGAACGCGUUGGACCGGCUCAUAGCAUGGAAUAGCAUGGUGCAGCCUGGCACGGCUCAGCCUGGCACGGGUUGGUACAGCAUAGCUUAGCCUAUAGGUUAGCCUGGCAUGGCUCAGCCUGGCAUGGAUCAGCCUGGCACGGGUUGGUCCAGCAUAGGUUAGCCUGGCAUGGCUCAGCCUGGCACAGCUCAGCCUGGCACAGGUUGGUCCAGCAUAGGUUAGCCUGGCAUGGCUCAGCCUGGCACGGCUCAGCCUGGCACAGGUUGGUCCAGCAUAGGUUAGCCUAUAGGUUAGCCUGGCAUGGAUCAGCCUGGCACAGGUUGGUCCAGCAUAGCUUAGCCUAUAGGUUAGCCUGGCAUGGAUCAGCCUGGCAUGGAUCAGCCUGGCACAGGUUGGUCCAGCAUAGCUUAGCCUAUAGGUUAGCCUGGCACAGCUCAGCCUGGCAUGGAUCAGCCUGGCACAGCUCAGCCUGGCACGGCUCAGCCUGGCACAGGUUGGUCCAGCAUAGCUUAGCCUAUAGGUUAGCCUGGCACAGCUCAGCCUGGUAUGGAUCAGCCUGGCA